rnacentral:rRNA from 1 species
UACGGGAGGCAGCAGUGGGGAAUAUUGGACAAUGGACCAAAAGUCUGAUCCAGCAAUUCUGUGUGCACGAUGACGUUUUUCGGAAUGUAAAGUGCUUUCAGUCGGGAAGAAGCAAGUGACGGUACCGACAGAAGAAGCGACGGCUAAAUACGUGCCAGCAGCCGCGGUAAUACGUAUGUCGCAAGCGUUAUCCGGAUUUAUUGGGCGUAAAGCGCGUCUAGGCGGCAAGGAAAGUCUGAUGUGAAAAUGCGGGGCUCAACUCCGUAUUGCGUUGGAAACUGCCUUACUAGAGUACUGGAGAGGUAGGCGGAACUACAAGUGUAGAGGUGAAAUUCGUAGAUAUUUGUAGGAAUGCCGAUGGGGAAGCCAGCCUACUGGACAGAUACUGACGCUAAAGCGCGAAAGCGUGGGUAGCAAACAGGAUUAGAUACCCUGGUAGUCCACGCUGUAAACGAUGAUUACUAGGUGUUGGGGGUCAAACCUCAGCGCCCAAGCUAACGCGAUAAGUAAUCCGCCUGGG